AGUUGCCAACGUCCCAUUUUUCCGACAGCUUAACGGUGCCCCGAAUAGACUGUCUGUGCCCACAAACAUGUUGCAGGAGUGGUGUGUCUGUGCUGUGCUGUGUGCAGACUGGCUCAGUGUGCAAGGAAAGAGUCUCAGAGAUCAUCCAAUCUCUUUUAUAUUGGAUCUUUUUCUAUAUUUUGAUCGUAUCAUCUAAUUUACAAGAAGUGUUUUUUAAAGGAGUGUUUUACUCGUCUACAAAAGCUAAUAAAAACCCACUAAAUAGA